rnacentral:rRNA from 1 species
UACGUAGGGGGCAAGCGUUGUCCGGAUUUAUUGGGCGUAAAGAGCGUGUAGGCGGCCACACAGGUCCGCUGUGAAAACUCGAGGCUCAACCUCGAGCUGUCGGUGGAAACCGUGUGGCUAGAGUCCGGAAGAGGAGAGUGGAAUUCCUGGUGUAGCGGUGAAAUGCGCAGAUAUCAGGAAGAACACCCGUGGCGAAGGCGGCUCUCUGGGACGGUACUGACGCUGAGACGCGAAAGCGUGGGGAGCGAACAGG